rnacentral:lncRNA from 1 species
UGCGUUCUUACUGAUUGCUUUUGGUCUUGCAUUUGAGUCAAUGGAUUUUAUACUCAUAUUCUGACAUUUAUUGUUAGUCUUCUGACGGUUCUGCACCUUGGUCCUAUAUUAUCUUCAGCAGUAUUAUCUAAAAGAUAAGUUUUUGCCGAAGAAAAUUUGCAUUCUAAACUAGAAAAUGAGGGGCCUGGGGGGGGGGGGGGGCGGGGGCGCAACAGGAGACUGUUUUCCACUUAUCCUCUUCCCUGCCUGCAUUUUAGAUGAUUCUGAUGCACCAGGUGCUGUGAAAUGGUUGAGAAAUACAUACCAUCAAGUGAAUUCUGAAAAUCAUAUCCUUCUUGAAAAUAUUUGGUGCUAGACAUUUGAAUAUAUGGCCACAAUUUAAACAAUAAAGAUUUUCUGCAUUGAUUUCUUAUAAUGGAUAUAUGCAUGUAAGUAAAAUAUGAUAUCUUUUGAUUAUUGGCCCAUUUGUUCAGAAAGAAGGAAAAAAAAAAAUACAUGGUGAUAAUGUAGCCAGAAUGAUGAGUUGAAUUGUGGGUUGCUGACUUGUGAUACAUUUUGUAGGUGUUCAUUAGGUGAUGUUACAAAUAAUGAUGCCUGUUAUGAAAAAGCUUUGGAAGUUUCGAAUGAUAAGUCAGCUCGAGCUAAGGUGAUAUUUGUUGCACAGAGAAAAUGUAGUUCACAUUAUGCUUGUACCGUGAUCAUUUUUUAGUUAACAUAUCUUUAUGUGAAUCAGAGGUCUCUAGCUCGUAGUGCUUACAAUAGAGGGGAGUACGAGACGUCUAAAAUCCUUUGGUAUGUUGCUUUAAUGCUUUACUUCUCUUUCUGCCACACAGUAAUUUGCUGCAUUGACAACUGAGAUGGCUGAAUGACAAUUUACCCUUGGUUUUGUCUCAGGGAGGCUGCCAUGGCCUUGAAUUCUUUGUAUCCAGAUGGCUGGUUUGCUCUUGGUGCUGCUGCAUUGAAGGUAUCAUAUUUUUGUAUUAGUAUGUGUUUAGUGUGGAGAGAUUUCUUAUCCUUUUGCCCCAAGUUUCUGAAACUCUCGGCUGAAAUAUAAAUACAGGCUCGGGAUGUUGAAAAGGCUCUGGAUGGGUUUACUCGGGCUGUUCAACUUGAUCCAGACAAUGGGGAAGCUUGGAACAAUAUUGCUUGCUUGUAUGCUCUUUUCUUUGUCAUCAUGUCAUUCCAUCCUCUUGCUCUGUAUUCUUUAAUAUGGUGUCAAUCACUUUCAUCUUCUAUCUGCAAGAGUAUGCUUCCCAUAUUUGGUUUACUUUGUUUUGACUUUCUUGUUGCAGUUGUUCUAUAUAAAUUUUAUAUGGUUCCAUAUUCCCUUGAUGAGUGAAUUUAGUUGCUGCAAAUGCUAAGAGCUAGAUAGUACUGUUAUAAUUAGGAAUAGGGCAAAUAUUAGCCAGCUCUUUUGAGGAUUAUCCAUAGCAUAUGCCUCCGUCGUUUUCAAAGCAAUUGAAGUUCUCCUUUUCGUCUUAUUUAAAAGAAAAAAGCACAAAUUGCUUCCCUCACAUCUCUCUACAGUCUCUUUUCUCUCUGUUUAAUUUUUUCUUGUGCUUAUUAUUUGUCUUUUAAUGCGUCUUUUCUUCUUAUUUUAUACUGUACUAGAGUUUGUGCAGUCUCAAUUUCAUCUUGUCUGUGACUUACUGUUUUUUUCGCAAUUGUGGAACUUUAUUUAGCAGCAUAAUUAUUAGUUAGUGAGACAUUAAUUGGUAAACACCACUUGUGAAAAGAUACGAAGAGCUACUUAUUCUCUCUACUAGUACAUUUAAAAAAUUCAUGAGAAAAUAUCUGGGAUGGUAAAAUUCUCGUCAAUUAUAACAAUGGAAGUCUUGAGAUUUAUGUAAUCUUGCAGGCAUAUGAUCAAGAAGAAGAGCAAAGAGGCUUUUAUAGCAUUCAAGGAGGCCCUAAAGUUCAAGUUCUGUUUUUUUCCCCCCUGAUCACAACAUUUUUAUUUUCUGUCAUGCACAAUGCAGUCGGACACUAUCUGAUCACUAGAACACUGUCAUACAUAAUUUGUUGCUGCUAGGCAAAAGGUGAUAUCUAAUGUAAUAACCUAUAACAUGAUUUUGUAACAGACGGAACAGUUGGCAAUUGUGGGAAAACUACAGCCAUGUUGCUUUGGAUGUGGGCAAUAUUGGUCAGGUAACCGCGGUUGUGCGCUUAAUUUCGAUCAUUUAUCACUGAAAUCUUUUGAGAUGAAGUUGGCAUUUUCUUAGCCACCCUCUGAUGGUUUUGAUUGCUUCAUGUAUGUUGUCAUCUUUGUCAACUAAUGAAAGCUGCAGAGAUUUUGUCAUCUUUUCAUUUAAAAGAAUUUGAUAGUUUAUAGCCCAUUGUCAUUUUUGCAUAUGUAUGUUAUUGUUCUUUUGACCUUUUUGUACCUCAGCUUCAUCCUUUUAUGCAAGCAAUUCGUUGUCAAGAAAUAUCUGGAUAACAAUUUUUUCCCAUGAAUAUUUUUACGCUCAUCAAGGUCCUUGAACAGUCAUGGUUAAUGGAUUACAGAUUCUCAAAUUUAUAAUUAUUUUUUUCAGGGUCAUUGUCCUUUGAUAUAUGCAACUUGAUGCAUGACUUUCUAAUGAUUAACUCCCUGCCCUCACCAUGGUCGUAUAAAUAUUUUGACAAGUGGGGAUUGUAUGAUUACUUUGUGCUAGGAAUUUUUUUGGUUGGAAAGAAAUGGGAGGAUUUUUCAAGAAGCUAGGGAGGGAAGACACCAAAUUAUUUUUGGUGGAUAAAGCCUGCUGUCACUUUGGGCAUCAAUUUCUAAUGAAUGCAAUAAUGUUCCUUUCUUUGCUAUUCAUUAAAAUUGAGUUGUUCUUCUUGGAUGGCCUUCUUUUUACUUCUCAUUAUUUUGCCAGCUUGUUGAUUGUCAUUUUUGCUUGUUGGCAGUCUUUUCCUGCAGUGUUAAUAAUAUUUAAUUAUAAUAUUAGACAUCAGUGUCCUCAACAUGAUCUCUCUCCCAAAUUUUUACUCUUUUAUUCAUUAUAGUUUUAGCAGUUUCUUUAUUUUUGUUUUAUUUUAUUUUUGCAGGCUCUAGAGGCUGUGCAGACGGUGUUGAACAUGACUAAUAAUAAAAGAAUUGAUACUGAAUUAUUAGAAAGAAUAGUGCUAGAUCUGGAAGGAAGGACUUCAAUUAUAGAAUCUGAGUCUUGCAGGACUACGCAUAAUCUUAACAGAACUAAUAACACUUGUGCAAAAGAUUUACCUGUAGAAUCUGUCCAUGUAUCAUCACCUGAGGAGUCAAUCAUGGGAAGAUCACGAGAAAAUGAGCACUUGAUGGAGUUUCUUGGGAAAAUUCUUCAGCAGGUUGCACAUGUUUCCGUGAUCAUCUUUUUUCCGUCUUUUAAUACUGAGCUAAGGGACAUUCUCUCUCUUUCACGCAUAUCCAAAACACAUGUACAUAUUUCUCAUAUUUCUAUGCGUAUAUAUUAUCAUUUCUGAUCUUUCUUAGUUUAUAUGAUAAUUGUCUUUGGGCAUAUGAUUCAUAUUUGCUGGGCAUCCUAUGGUCUGUGGGUCAAUAAUAAUCCAUAGUAUCUGAAUUUCUUGACAAAAUUGGUCAUUUUGGCAAAUCAUUUGGACGUAUCUAUGCAGCAGUUUACUAUUUUAGUGCUUGCAGGAAUUGGUAUGCUUAAAUUUUGGGCUUAAAUUGUGGGAAAAUAAUCAAAGUGAUAUGCAAAUUAAUUCAAGCCACACGAGGAAAGAAUAUCCUUUCUUUUUUUUUUUUUUUAAGCUUAUGUUACAUGUUUCUCUGUAUGGCAUAGGUAGUUCGAAGUGAGAGUAGUGCAGAUAUGUGGGGAUUAUAUGCAAGGUGGCUUAAAUGUAAAGGAGAUCUUACAAUGUGCUCUGAAGCCCUCUUAAAGCAAGUCAGAUCAUAUCAGGUUUUUCCAUAAAUCUCAUCAUCUUAUAAUAAGUUAGCAUUAUGUUUUACUUUGAUGUUGAUGGAAUUUGUUAAUGCUAAUCAAAUUUUGUUAAUCUCUCUCUCUCUCUCUCUCUUUUAAAAAGAAGGCAAAGAAAAAGCUGUGAUUUCAUUUUUGUUUUCUAAAUUUGUUAAAUAAAGGAAUGACAAGUUGACAACUCAGCCUCUCUCUCUCUCUCUCGCUCUCUCUCUGUGUCUGUGUCAGGGAUCUGAUUUGUGGAAAGAUAGAGAUCGGUUUAAAAGGUUUUCAUAUGCAUCCUUGGAACUUUGUAAGGUUUACACGGAAAUUUCUUCCUCUUCUGGUAGCCGUCGAGAACUCUUUGCUGCUGAGAUGCACCUGAAGAACGUACUUAAACAAGUAAAACACCUUAUAAUUUGAUAUUUAGGACACUUACAGUUGGUUUAAAGAUUGCAUUUUCCGUUUCUGUUUUUGACUGGUUCAGGGUAAAACUUUUUCCCACUGUGUUAGAGUGCAUUUCUGUUAUUAUAUAGUUUCUUAGAAGAGAAUGCGCUUUUUGGAAUCUCAGGCUGAAGGAUUUGCUGACAUGGAAGAGUUCAGGGAUCUUCAAGCUUGCCUUGAUGAAGUGAAGACGAAACUCCAAUCUGGUCCCGUGGCUACCUAAGUAUCAGGAACGUGCUAUUUUUGAAUAUCAGGAAUGUGCUAUUAUUUUAGUUCGUACUGUAGUUGAGACCUUAACCAUGACUGAAUAUCUUGUAUUGCUGUACCACCUUUUCUGUAACAAAACAGUCUAGUUUUAGUAUUUUUAUUAUUUUUGUAUUUUCAGUGCUGUAACUAAUCUCAUUUGACAAUGUAAAUAUAUGGCUUCAAGUUAUUUAAAUGUAAAAUCAAGUGUUGUUUUCAACCUCUGUUCUUUUAUGUAUAGCUUACAUGCCGUGAUUUCAUUAACCUCAAUUUAAGGACAAUUUCAUAUCUUUUUUCUUUCUGCUUUUCUUUUAUCAUUUAAGAACAAAUAUGAAUAUAUUUCAGACAGCAUUUAAACAAAGCAACCGAACGUCGCUGGUUUCUAUUAUUACAUUGACAGCAAUAAAACAAAGAAGCAACUGAAAGUUAUCUUCAUAUGAGAAUGAAAGCUUUUCAGCAGCAUAACACUAUUCAUUUCCAAACGAGUUCCUCAACAUGAGAACAAAUUCGUAGACCUUUUCUGGGUCUGGAAGGAUCCUGGCAACAGUUUCCCUUUGCAUGCACUUGUUCAUCCAAGCGGAGAAUUUGGGGCACUCAUUCGCAUCCUUAAAUCACCCAAAUUUCUCAACCGCGUAAAACCAACAAAUUUCUCAACCCCCAAAUUUGGGACAUCAACGAAUCCAAAGCUAUCCCCGCCAAAGAAAUCCUUCUCCCCUAAAGCUCCCUCUAGUUGCUUCAAUAUCUCUAUAAAUUCAUUCUUUGCCGUCUCCUGUGUUUUAAAAAAUCUAUUGUAAUGGAUCUAUUGUAAAUUUAUCUAACUGCUUGUUAUAAUGCUUCUAUUGCGGUGUUAUUCGAGUUGUCAUUUUCAGUUUUAUUUUAUUUGUUCUUUAAACAUAGUUAAUUUGAAAUGUUCUUUAAUAUCCAUUACACUUGAGAUCAUCAAAUAAGUGAUUCUUGAAUAUAAUUGCUGUUGUUACUCGAAUAAGAAAAGAAAACAAAAAAUAGCUAAGGUAAAAGUAAAUGGAAAUGAGAGCAACGUGAUUUUGCAAAGAGAACUUCACACUAUCAUAAAACCGAAAACAUUACAAUUUAAAGCUUUAAUAACAACACAUCAAAGUCAAAUAACGACCCACUAGAAUCAUGGUCCAAAGAUUGUGCCAUGAUCACAACAUGAACUACAAAAAAAUAACCAACACCAGAAAAGUAGGAACAGUUUGAAACUUUCAACUAAGCAGCAUUUAUGAUUCCACAUCAGCAGCCCUAAACACAUCUUCUAACAAUCGCAACUGCUCAUUUUUGCUUCUGCCAAUAAAGAGUUGAUUGUAACCAAAGAUUGUUGUCUUUAUUGUCAUUUGAGAGUAACAAAUUACUUACGCAGUCACGUAAGUUGUUGGUUGGCCUCGCACAUUUUUGAGAAGUUUGUUUCUGAAGGAAACCAGCUGAGCCGCAACCUCUUCCAUGCUCAUUCGUUCUCUCGGCAACUCUGAAGAGCAAAUGGCUCCGAUUCCCAGUACGGAAACCAAGCACUCUUUACCACUAAAACUUCUGGUCCAUUGUUUGUGAGCAUUGGCGUUGCUUUUCUCCCCUUCUUCUCUUUCUACAAGAAGCACUGGAUCAACAAUUUCAGCGAGUCUUUCAGGAAGAGCUUCCUUGACAAAAUUAUGUAGGGUUAGAUUGCCUGUAAACAUUUCAUUCGUCGGCCUCUUUCCUGUAAACAUUUCCAGCAAGAGUAUUCCAAAACUGUACACAUCUCCACUUGUUGAGACUUCGCUCCCCAUUCCGUACUCUGCAAUUCGAAAACUAAAAUUGUUGGUUCAACUAGUAAAAUCUCAAAGGAUUGAAAGACAAGUUAAUUAAAUAAUAGUAAUUACCUGGAGCAGCAUAACCAACGGUUCCUUUUACUCCAACAGAGCUUGAUUGAUUAGAUGACAAGUUAUUGGUGGCUUCCGGAAGGAAUUUUGCUAAUCCAAAAUCACCUACAUGGGCAGUCAAUUCACUAUCCAGAAGAACAUUGCUUGGCUUGAGAUCACAAUGGACUAUUGGAGUUUCGCAAUAAUGAUGAAGAUAAUCCAAUGCAGAAGCAACAUCAACGGCAAUACUCAGUCUUUGCAGGAGAUUUAGAUUCUUAAGUGCCUCACGGUUUGGAUGCAACCAUUCCUCCAGGCUUCCGUUAACCAUGAACUCAUAAACUAAAGCCUCGAAAUCAUUUCCUUGGAAGUCAACACUUGCACAGGAAGUUAUUAUUUUGACGAGAUUCCGAUGCCUAAUAUUUCUCAAGGCCUGACACUCCGCUAUGAAACUCUUUGAAGCUCCUCGAUGUUGAAGAUUAAGCACCUUAACUGCCACCAGCGUUUCAUGAUCAUCAUGAUUGAGGACUCCUUUAUAGACCGAACCAAAGCUACCGGCACCAAUCAAGUUUUCCAAAGAGAACCCGUCAGUUGCUUUGAACAGAUUCUCAUAGGACACUCGUAAAACCGAAGCCAAGAGAGCUGAUGGAGGAGUGGCCGGCUUCCUUUUUGAUUUGCCCCGCCAGGAAGUAAUUAUCAAACACGACAUCCCUGUUACUAACAAAAUUCCUGUAACAACAGGAAUAAUCAGUUUCAGGAAACGGGAACGUGAUUGCAUUGAUUCUUUGAUGGAACAAGUAGAUAAAUGCAACUCAGAUAUGCCACCACAGAGGUUAUCAUUUCCGUCAAGAGAUAUAGCACUCGAAUUGCUGAAGACUCCUUUUAUUGGUACUUCACCCUCAAAAUGAUUAAAAGACAGAUUUAAAUUCUGCAAAAAGGGAAAGUUUUCCAGAUAUUUUGGAAUUCGGCCAGACAAAUUGUUCCUCGAAAGAUCAAGAUUCUCAAUGCCUCUCAAAGAACUGAAUGAUGAAGGGAUAUUCCCUUGAAAGAAAUUACCAUUCAUGAUGAGUUGUACCAACAUAAUGCAACUUCCUAUACUGCUUGGAAUUUCACCAGACAAUUUGUUCUCCGAUAUGUCUAUAAAACCCAGAUUUUUCAAGAUACCAAAAUUAGAGGGCAAAGGACCAUUCAAAUGGUUUUGAGAUAGAUCAAGAUAGAUUGACAAGGAAGAGAGGCCAAUCACUUCAGUGGGUAUGGUACCACUGAGGUUGUUAUUGGAGAGAUCUAAUAAUAUCAAGUUUUGGCAUUUCCCUAGACUUGAUGGAAUGUUUCCCUCUAACAUGUUUUCCGCAAAAUCUAGUAUAGCUAACGAUGUCAAAUUUCCUAUAGAAGAUGGAAUUUCCCCCCAAAACUUGUUCCCCAGAAGCCACAACGUCUGCAGCUUAUGAAGAUCUCCUAUACUUCCCGGAAUUCGGCCUGUGAAUUGGUUGCCCCCAAGGUGUAAAAGCUCUAAGUUAACAAGAUUUCUUAAUCGAUUUGGGAAAUUUCCGAACAACUGAUUGUUUCCAACUAUUAAUAUUCUAAGUCGGGUUGACAAGUUCCCCACAGCUUCAGGUAACAUUCCACCAAAAUUGUUGUCACUAAUUUGCAGUAGCUCUAGUCUGGAAGCGUUGACCAAAGAAUUGACAAAUUCCAAGUCAUCCUUUUUCCCAUUUCCUAAGUGAUUCAGAUAAAAACUAACCCAUUGGAGUUUAUGUAAAUUUUCCAAACUAGGCACCUUUCCACUGAAUCCAUUCAUUGGGAUUGUAAGUCUCAUUAGAUUUGAGGCAUUGGAUAUUGAAGCAGGAAUAGGCCCAGUAAACUGAUUACCACCAACGUUUAAUCGUUCAAGAUUAGGCAGAGUGAAGCCUAAGUCUGAUGGAAGGCUUCCUUGAAGUUGGUUAUGAGGGAAAUCCAAAUAAUUAAGCGAAGACAAGUUGUAGAUUGAGAAAGGGAUUUCACCUGAUAGCUUAUUUACUCCCAAUAAUAUAUCACGCAUCCUCUUUAGCUGACCCAGUGUUUCAGGAAUUUGUCCCACAAAUUGAUUUGCAGCUGCUGAGAGGACCUCGAGUGAUGACAAAUUGCCCAAGGAAGAUGGGAUUUCUCCCGAAAAAUUGUUGUAGUGUACUGUGAGCAUCCGGAGCUUUGAUAUGGAGCCUAGUAACCCAGGAACUUUCCCCACAAGCUCAUUGACGCCUAACCUGAGGGAUUCAAGGUUAACGCAAUGCGAUAUGUUGUCAGGAAUUUGACCUCCGAAUGUAUUGUUGUUCAGCUCCAAAAUUCGUAACCUGAACAGAUAUCCAAUCUCUUGAGGGAUUUCGUUGCGGAAGCUAUUGUUUUUGAGAUCUAACACUCUGAGAAAACUCAAAUUACCAAUGUGAGGCGACAGAGACCCCUGCAAGAGUAAAGAUGGAAGACGUAAUCCAGUCACCCUUUGGUGCCGUCGACUGCAAGUGACACCUUUCCAUUGACAAAAGUGCCUGGAAUAGUUCCAUGAUCUCAAAACCUCAAGAGGGUCAUGAGUAACUUUGGCCUUGAAUUGAAGCAAUGCAAGUUGAUCAGUUUCAUUGCUUUUGAGCAUAUAAUCGGUUGAUUGCAAGCUGAAGCUGAAGCAACAUAAAAUAAAGAAACAAAUGCUUACAAUGAUUGAACUCAUCAUGUUUACAAAAUUCAUUUAACUGCCGAAGGAAAUUAAAAUGAUAAAACUUUUAUAGAGGUUUGUAAGAUAAAAUAUGUUUGUAUAUAUUUUGCAAUGAUUUAUGGACUCUGUCUUUGAUGCUCAAAUGUGAACCAGGUGGCACCGUGACAGUGAAACUAAUACUUUUUCUUUUUCUAAUAAUAUUAAUUAUCAUAUUUAUUACUAUUGUAAGAAUAAUAUACUGCAGCUUUAAAGAAAGACUCACCAUACUCUCUUUUGAGUUUAAUCACCAAUAUUGAAAAGGAAAAAAAAAGUAGGGCAAGAGAAAGGUAAAUACGAUGGGUGGAGUGUUAAGACUACUGUUAAAUGAGUUGGGAAACGUUCAAAGCACGAUGGGAAUUAAAGAUUCACAACACCUUUUUUCUAAAAUUUUCAAUACAGUCUCCCCCAAAAUUUGCUAGUGCAACAAAGAGACGUCGCGCCGUUAACAAUUUUAAACUGUAAAUGACAUGUCGUUUUCACAGAAUUCGUUUAACUGCCGGAGGAAAUUGAAAUUAUAAACUUUUAUAAAGGUUGGUAAGAAAAAAUAUACUUGCACAUAUUUUUUUUUCAAUGAUUUAUGGACGCUGUACUUGAUGCUGAAAUGUGAACCGGCUGGCACCGGGACAGUGAAAUUAAUGCUUUUUGUUUUUCUAAUAAUAUUAAUUAUCCUUUUCCUUUAAGGAAGACCCGCCACACUCACUUUUGACGCUCUAUCAGUUUCCAGCAUGUUGUCGUUUUGUAUUUUAGUGCAUUAAAGAAAUCCACAAUGAAUAUAAAAUAAUUUAAUCAACAGUAUUAGAAAAAGAAAAAAAGUAGGAUAAGAAAGUUAAGUAUGAUGGAUGGAGUUUCACAUUUCUGUUAAAUGACUUAGGAAAUGUUUAAAGCACCACAGGAAUCAACGUUUCACACGCUUUUUAGAUUUUUUUUCUAAAAGGAAAAAGAUAUUCUCACGAAAGAAAGUACAAAAUUUCACACAAAACGGUGCAUUUAAAUAAAGUAAAAUUGCAAAAAUACUCAAAAUAUAUAAGAUUGAUCAUUUACACCCUCCUUGUUUUUUUUGGGUGAACUAUUUCUGGAAAAUGGGCAGAGCCUAGUUUUGGUUCAAAAUUUGAAAUAACAAAUGGUAUAUUGGUGGAAAACCAACGACAUAUUUUCUAAUGCUUAACCUAAAUGGGAAUUAUAUCGGUUUGUACUGUCAAUAUAACAAACAACUAACUAAAUUAUUUAGAAGUCAUGAAUAAAAAUGGAUAGAACAAGAAGUAUAUUGCUAUUCGAUGCAAGAUGUUGGAUUAUUAAACCAUAAUAAAAUAAUAUAACUACACAUGUGCAAUGUUAUUCACUAAAAAGAUUUAAUUUAGAUAUUAAACAGUUAGUGCAACUGUAUCGAUCUCAUCCUCAUUAAUUUAGAGUUUGAGAACUCAUAAUAAAAGAAAAUAGAAAUUUAAACAUAGAUCCUAUCCUAUUAAGUAGAAUCAGAAAAGAAGUUUAUAGAAAUAAUUUUUCACGGAAGCAAUGAAAUAUUAAUCCGGUUGAUGGAUAUAUUGGUGAACACAUAAUAGAAUAUUAUAAUAGAUUUUUAUCUAUCAAGCAAAGGGAAGAAUAUAAUUGGAAUAACAAAAGAAUUAGAAGUAAAUAGUAAUAUGCUAAUAGGAUAUAAAGGAUUAUUAUUAAUUAUCGUAUUUGUGUAUAUAUAUAUAUAUUUUAAAUGAUUUAGGGACUCUGUACUUGAUGCUGAAAUGUGAACCGGCUGGCACCGGGACAGUGAAACGAGUACUUUUUUUAUUAUUACACGGCCUGUCGUUUUCAAAGAAAAAUUUUAUCAUGGUAUUCUUAUCCCCUAGCUGCCGUUUGUCGUUUGGAAUUUCUCUGUAUAAGAUUUUAAAGCAGCAAAAAUUUCGCCAUCUCGCGCCGGGGGGGUGGGGUGGGGGGAAGAUGAUGAUUCCGUGGAAUAUUAUCUUCGACUUAUCUGCUAUAAUCAGUGCUAACCGAUUUUGACACAUUUGCAGUAACGGAAGGGUUACAAUUACACGAGAUUGACACGAGGUAAUUAGCUAGUCAAGUCUCCGUGGGAAAAUUGUAAGCACUCAAGACUUAAAAAAGACUUUAUAAAGUAAGGCGUAUUAUGGAUGGUGUGGUUUGAUUCUCACUUGCAUCAAUUGUUCUUUUCAUUUUUCAUUGGAGGAAAGGAAAUUCAAGAGCCUGGUGUAUCUAGCAAAUUUUGUAACACGUUCUUGUAAGAUAAAAUAAAUAAAUAAAUAUAUCGGAUCCUAUUUCAUAGUUUAGUUAUAGGGUUAUUCGGAUGUCUGAAUUCAAAACAAGUUAAGUUUAAUCUCUAAAUAAUUUUGAGGAAAUCUUUCUACAAGGAGAGUUUGAAAUCAAUCACUACCCAUGUGUCAUUGGUCAGAUAAAUAGGUUAAGAACUCUAAUCCUAUCCCGACACAAAAAAAAAUCGUAUCGACUCGGACCUAGUCCAUUUUAAAUAACGGUUUAUUUAAAAUAAUUAUUUUUAUAAUAAUAAUUACUACUAUUAGUUGUCCUAUUAUUAUUAUUAACAAUAAUUAUUUUAAAUAAAAAUUGUAAUUAUUAUAAUAAAUGAUGACAAUAAUCAACUAAGAUUAUUUUGGUAUUGUAAUAAUCAAUUCCAAUUCCAAUAAAAAUUAGAUACAUUAGUGACAAUAUAAAUUAGGGUAGGGGUGGGCAAAUUCGGUUUGGAUCGGUUUGGGACAUAUCCUCAAACCGAUCCAAACUAAUCGGUUUGAAAUAUUUUCAAACCGAUAUCAACCUAAAAUUUUUUUAAACCGAACUGAUCCAAACCGAUUGGAUCGGUUUGGAUCCGGUUUGAACUUAUUAGCUAAAAUUUCACUUCUUUUAUAUUAUUUUACCUAAAUUAUUUGUUAUUUUUUUGUGUCCGCAAUCUAAAUUGAUACCUCUUUUAUAUUAUUCAUAUCUACUUUGAUAUCUACAUAACAAUUCAAAGAUACAUCCAUACAAGUUUACAGCAUAAUACAUCCUAAUAAACAAGUUCUUAACCUGUUCAUUCAAAACAAACUCACAAAAUUAAAAUAAACUUAAACCACACUUGACAAUUAAAAUAUUGUGCAUCUUGUCCGUCAAAAUUUAUAGUCCAAUUACUUUUGAUUUGUUAAAAUCUGCAUAAAAUGAUAAAUAUAAUUAUUUAGAUUGAUUAACUUAAAAUAUAAUGUAAUUAUAUAAUAUUUCUGGAUUGGAUCGGUUUGAAUCGGUUUGGAAUCCUUCCAAACCGAGUGAUGUCGGUUUGCAAUCCAAUAAACUGAAACCAGUUUUUUUACUAAUGAAACCGAUCCAAACCGAUCCAAAAGGUCGGUUUGGAUCGGUUCGGUUAAAAUAUGCCCACCCCUAAAUUAGGGGUUAUUUUUAGAAACCUCCCCUGAAGUUUAGUGUAUUGACAGUCGGAUAGAAAGUAUUCAUAUAAUUACAGGGACCUCCCCUGACGUUAGUAUUCCGCUAAGUGGACUGUCAGUUGACUAUUGAAAUUCCAAAAAUGCCCUUGCCGCAAAAAUAUAUUUUUAACAUAGAGGAGGUUGCGCUCUGAUCCUUUGUUCUGAAUUCAUUUUUUAUCCUUUGUUCUUAGUCACGGUAUAUAAGCCCCAUCCUUACCAAACAAAAUUUUAGAUCAAACAUGCUUAAAGAAAAUGGAUAAUGCAACAUCUAAAAUAAUUUUAAAACACAAAACAACAAAUACUCCACAUUUCAAAGUAAUAAAAAAAUAAAUAAUCGUAGUGCAAAUAGAUUAAACCUGAGCAGAUUUAUAGGCAUUAAGAGUAUUCUCAACGGCGACUUUCCUCUCAUCGCCAGUCUUAAACUCAGCCAAGUUAAGCAAACUCAUGUCGAAACCAAAAUUAGAAUUUAGAAAGGAAAAAAACAGAAUUGAGAAUCAAUUUAUUUUUUGGGAGCACGUGAGUGAUGAGUUUUGGAAUCUAAAAUGAUAUCAAGUUAUGAAGUAUUUUUGGUGUAAACGCAACAGCCAUGAGAGGAGAGUGACGAGAAACUUCCAAAAAGAGGUGAAAAAAAAAACAGAAGAGAAAAAGGCCAAAAGGAAAAAGACUCAAAAAAACAAAAACAGAGAGGAGACGCAAGGGCAAUCAAGCAAGCAGACAAACAAUUUAAAACCUGAGCAGAUAAUCACCCUUCAUCUUCAAAUAAAACACCUUGGAAUCGGCAGCGGCAGCGGUGGGAACCAAUUUCUGGUCCAAUAAUUUCAAGAUCCCGCCACAGGAUCUCCAUCAACUCGGCUUCGAUCUUCGAUCUGUACUCCUUAAUCACGGAGACAUGGUCUUGGUUGCCGUGCGACUCGUCCUUCUGCUCGAUGGAGGACACGAUGCACCAAGAGGCGCGCCGUGCGCCGAUGACGUUCUUGUAGGCGACGGAGAGGAGGUUCCUCGCUGGUCGAGGCAGAGACGACGACUUUUUCCAUGUAUUGGACCAUCUCCUCGUACCACUCGGCUUGCUCCGCAAGUUUUUCCAUGUAUACGUUUUCUUCCCGUGGAGAAGGGGCUGCCAUUGUUCCGUUCAGUUAUCUUUGUGUUUGUUUGAAUUUUGUUUUUGUUUAAAUUUUAAAUUUAUUUUUACGUAUUUACCCUUUAUAAUAACGUUAUACGUAUUUUUGUAUUAACGUUAGGGGAGGUCUUUGUAAUUACAUGAAUAUUUUCUAUCCGACUGUUAAUACACUAAACCUCAGGGGAGGUCCCUAAAAAUAACCCUAUAAAUUAUUACAGCUAAAAUAAAUAAUUUAUAAUAAUUCUAAUUCUUUAUUUCAAUUCUAUUUUGAUUCUAUCUUAUUCCGAUUACUGAUUGGUAAGCAUACCACUAAACGAAAUGAAACUGUCCAUACACAAUAAAAUCUCUUUAAUUGAUCAUCUAGCCCAGCUAAAAUCAACGGUCCCGAAAGAAACAAUUUCGGAACUACUCAAGCCUGCAAAUCUUGCACUGUCGUAGUAAGUUACAGGAAUUUGAUUGGACGAUGUAAUAAAGAUGAAGGAUAAGAUCGCCAUUCGCCAAUCAAUUUUCUGUCCGCAUCAAGCAAAUAGGCCAUCUGUGAGGCGCAAAAUGAGUUAAAAAGAUGGAUAAUUUUGGAAUCCAUUAAUCCACAAUGAACAUAAAACAAUUUAAUCAACAGUAUUAGGAAAGAAAAGAAAAGUAGGAGAAGAAAGUUAAGUAUGAUGGAUGGAGGUUCAGAUUACUGUUAAAUGACUUAGGAAAGGCUUAAAGCACCACAGGAAUCAACGUUUCACAAAGCUUUUUUCCCUUUCUGAAAUAUUCGGUGCAGUCUCCCCCAGAUUUUGCCAGUGCAACCAAGAGACGUCAUGCCGUUAUCAAUUAUAAACUGUAAAUGACAUGUUGUUUUUACAAGACAUAUUAUGCGUCGAUACAUACCUAUGAAUGGGUUCAAGAAAUUCAGCAGGUUGCGAAACAAUAAGAUUCAUUCAAUCCGCGUAGAUAUCUGACUGACUGAAAUUAAAUAAACGAUGAUGAUAAGAAAUUUGAAAUCAACAAAUCUCGGCACAUCUAUUCUGCAGUUUGGCCGUACUUCAAAUAACCUUGCGAUAAAAAUUUCAUAAAAAAUCUCAGAAAGAGGACAGAACAACCAAGGCAUCAGCGAAAGCAAUCGAGGCAGGGCACGCUCAAGCCACGAAUUAGAGGAAUUUUAAAUAUCAAAACCUGCUCAGAAUAAUAAGAAAUAAAAUGAAACUACAAAAGGCUCAGAUUUUUGGAUGAGUGAAGGGAAGAUGAGAAGAUGAAAUGCAGAAAGUCAAGAAAUGAAUAAACCAAUAUUAAUAAUCUUGGACCCACAGCUCUAAUUUGGAUUAAGCAUCCAUCUACCUAUGUGGAUAAUAUUUUUGCUAACUUUUCAGCCAUGCAGCAGGAUCAUGUUCGUCCUGUUUUAUUUGAUAGAAGGAAUUUUCCCCUGGAAGAAAAUGAUGAGUCGUUUCAACGUCAUGCAACUGCCUAGACUGCAUGGAAUUUCACCAGACAAUGACAAUUUAUUCUCAGAUAUAUCUAACGCCCCCACAUUUGCCAAAUUUGAAGGCGUCCGUUUUGAGACUGAUAAAAACGUUUUCCAAAAAUUCGGGAUUCAGGUCGAUCAGACCGGUUAUGUUUUGCAAAACUUGUAAAUUUUCAGUGAUCAAAAUUCAAAACUUUGCAAAUAGGUCAAAAUAUGAAAAAUACUUGAUAUAUUAUUGAAUACUCAUUUUGUUUUGCAUUAAUAUACGGCUGUGGGUGCUAUCUAGUUCUAUUAGUAAAAUUCCUUGGGUUGAAAACAAGAAAACUAGCAUUUGAAACUCACCCAUAUGGAUGGGAAAGAAAUUUAGUUACCAUUGGAUUAAAAAAUAAUAAUAACAAUUAGAAAAAAAUUGUAAGGCUUCGACAAGAUUUGCUAAUCAUGUAUAGAUUAAUAUGAAGAUUAAGAACAUCACCUAAGCCAAUUAUUGAAAUUGAAAUUUUAGGAGAAAAAUUUAUGUGGGUUUGGCCACCAAUUUAGCAUUAGGAACUUAUUGUUUAGGAAGCUAUGGUGGGUUUCGUAGUGGGACUUAUCCUCUUUAAUGCAUAUGGUGAUUUUAAACCAACAUUUAUAUAAUCCCAUUAUAAAACUCAUCAAACCUUCUAAAAUAACUCGUUGAGAUAGUGUGCUAGAUCCAUAUAAAUAUUUCUCCAACUUCUUAGCUUGAAGCGAUAUUCAUUUCCAUUGAUAGUUUAAUGGGCAAAGCCUUUUGAAUUCUCCAGGUUAUCAAGUUAUUUUUUGCUGGAAAAUGCAAUCCGGAUAUGAAUAGAUUUUUUUGUGCAAUCAAAUUUUCUAUGUUGACGCAUCCUCUAGAACUUUCAGUAAAUUUUAUGGAGAAGCUUUAAUUUCUUAGUUGUUGAUUUCGAAUAAAAAAUUAAACUUAACUUUAAAAUUACAGUUGUAAUUAUAAAAUAUUUACUGAAUACAUUAGUGUUAAUACUACAAAUUGUUCCAUUAAAAGUCUCUCAAAAAGGAAGAAGUGACUUAAAAAAUUAAAAGAAUGCAGGAGCUGAAGUUGGCAAUUUUGUAAAUUGCAAUGGCAAUUGUGGGCUAGUAAAAUCCCUCAAUGAGUCACAGCACUAGCAAUUUCGUAAUAUACAUUAGUGGCAAUUUUGUAAAAUUGAAGUUGUGAUAGUUUUGCAAAUAAAAGUAAAAGCUUUUUGCCUAAAUUCGGCUGAGCUAAAAGCCAGCUUAGCCCACACUCUCCUUCGCCACCGGUUGACGAGCUCUUCCUUCAAUUUUUGAACUUGAAGUGAUGCCCCAUCGAUGUCCAGAAUUUUUAAAGUCAGAAUGAUGAUCCUAAUGAUUCUUUUUAGAUAGUCACCUGUACGUUGACGUGUUUAAUUGAUGUUUAUUUAAGCAGAAAUUGAAGUUUGAUCCCUGAUUAAUUAGAUGAGAACACACAUUCAUGAGUAAAUACUUAAAAUUAAAUUAAUCAAAAUAGUAUAAAUACAGGAGAAAAUCGAUCAUAUGCGUGCAGACAUCACAAUCGAAUUAUAUAUAUCACCGCCGCACAUAAAUUUGAUUCCCAUGAUAUGUGAUUAAUUAAUUAAUUUUUUUAAUAACAAUUAAAUUGUAAUGUCAAUUGUCCACAUAAGUUUUUUGUUUUUGUUGAUGAAAGUUAGUAAUUUUUUUCCAUCUUUUUAAAUAAAAGUUGUUAAUAAAUAUCAAGAAAAUAUUGGGACUUGAGAUCAGGGUCUACUUAAGUUAGAAUUUUUUAUUAGAAAAGCUAUAGCCAGCGAUGAAAAAUAAAGAAGUAACACAAGAUAAAGAGUAAAAUGAGAGAGCAUAUAUUAUAAAAAGAUUUUACCCAUUUCAAGUGUGCACCAAACAAAGAGACGAACUCUCAUUUUAUAGUUACAUAAUUAUUACAUGAAAUUAAUAAAAAUAUUAAGAAUUAUAAUUCCUUGCGAGAUAGUGGGAGUUAUAGAAAAGUCAAGAGUUGUUAGUGGAAGAUAGCAAGAAGAGUAAAAAAUAUAUGUUAUGAACAUUCACAUUUAUUUUAAUAAAUUUACAGUAUUUUUUUCGUUAAAUAAUAGGGUGUGGAGAACAAUUGGAAGGACUUUACGUGUGUUUAUAUAUUGACAUAAAAAUUGCAGGACGUGUAGUUUAGCGUUUCUUGGUUGUUCAGUGCUAGUUUUCUAAAUCUCGAGCGUGCGGGUUAUUUUUCGUUACCUUUAUCACCGAAAGGCUGUUUUAACCAACUAAGAACUAAAAGCUAAAACCCAAAACCCCCCUCUUGUUCUUUUCCAGGGACUUUACCUUGUCCUUGAUGGCCGAAAAGCAACUGGAAAUCCUCCGCGGGUACGAGCUGCGGCUCUUGCGCUGCACCCUCGCUCCCCCACCGUCCGAUCUUCGCAUUCAAUCGCAACCGUUGAACGAAGAAAGCCAAUGCUCUAUCCUUCCACUCCACGAGCACAUCAACAGCCUCAUCAACUCCAUCGAGUCCGGCCACUAUCUCCAGGCUCUGUCCUCCGACGAGGCUAAACACGCUCUCGACACGCUCGAUUUCGUCGACAUCAACGACUCAGCCGAGUGUGCCGACCGCGUCUACUCCGAGCUGCUCCAGCUUGUCGAAGCGUCUAUAGUGAACGAUUCCGAAAUUGACGUGGAUAAGGCUUGUCGAGUUAUUCUGCUCAUGUGUCUUUCAAUUGCUGCCCUUUUUUGGUUCACUCAGUGUAACGUGACUGGGUGAGUUUCUUAUUUAUAAAUUUUUAAAUAAUUGCAAUUAAUUAAUAAUAAAUAUUAGUAAAAAAUUAAUCAAAAAAAAGGUUUAGUGAUGAACCUUGUCGAGGUGCCUUCUAAUAGAAAAGAGCUCACGGCAAGAUGAAAUGCAAAGUAAGUUGUUUUAUGGUUGGGCGGUGUGUAGCCGUCUUGUUGAAGGCCAUAAGAUGUUAAGCAUAUUGCUGUUUAAUUUUUAAAUCAUUCUCAGUAAUAAUUCCUUUAGUAGAUUGAUGAUAAGAGAUUGCAUUGCAGAUGAUAACUGAGCACAAUUUCUGUAGUUGUAUCCCUGUACAUCCAUCUUAAUAUCCUCAUUAUAUUCACAUGCCUUUUACGGGUGUUAUUUCUGGAUGCAGAAUGCUUUGUUCCACGUCUGGAUACCAAAUGCUUUGUUCCACAAAGCUGAGCUGGUUGAAAAGCUAGCUGAUGAGGUCAACAUGUCCCUUAAGUAAUUUGAGGAUGAACACUGUGUUCCCGAAAGUCUUACUCUAAUGAUACUUAAAGAAGCAAUGAGAAUGGAUGUUGCAGCAGCUUUGCUGAACUCAACCCCAGUUCCAAAAAUGGAACAUGUGAAAAUGCAUUGUUUUUUUUUUUUUUUUUCUCUCUCUUUAUGACUUCUUUGGUUGGGAAUGUAUUAGAUAUUCACCUAAUCAGUAGGCCUUGAAGGGAUCCCAUGUUAGCCCCUUGAUGUUGGUCUGUAACUAAGUAAAUACUUGACCUUGAAAAAGCUUUUGGAGGCAUCAGUUCUCUCUGACUGUGUGCUACUUUUUGGAUCUGUUGAUUUGGUCAUUUGCUGAUUUAUAGUUAUUUUUCUGAUUCAGGAUGGGAUAUGGCUCCAUACAUAUAUAGGCAAUUGAUUCACAGCAGUCGUCAUGCUUCAUUGUAAUUAUAUAUACAAUACAGCAUCAGUUUUUCUUGAUUUUAAAUCUCGUAUUCUGAAGUGGUACUUCUGAUUCUCACAUGAUUUUUCCAUCUUUCAGCUAAAGUUUUUCUGUGAUCUCUUCCGUAUUAGAUGGGAGUUCACCCGUAGUCGCACAAAAGGGCGUGCUUUAGAGAUGAUGGACAAACUGGUAUGAUCUGUGAGCCUUUUCUUCUUAAAUAUUUUGUUACCUAAAUCAUUUUCAUUCAAAUUUACAAGAGUUGCCUAUGGAUCUAUAGAAGAUUCCAAACUUUCUGCAGCUAGUAGUUUCUUGGUUUCCGUACUGUCCAUCGGGUAAAGAUUGAAUGUGCAUCAUUUAUAAACUUGUCGGGAUCUUCCUUCUUAGCUUUGAGAUUGCUCCUGCAUAUAGGUAGAACCAAAGGCACAAAUGGUACUUGUUGCAAACACAAGCUCAUCCAACACUUCUGAUGUCUGCCCUUCAAUAAACCAAGUCAUUCAUACACAUGAUUCUACUAUUGGUGAUGCCUCUGAUGUUUUUGUGACCCCAAAAUUAUUGGGGAAUAGUCAUGAAUCUGAAUCUGGAGUCCAAUGCAUUCAUGCUGGUGGCUCAGCAGCCCAUUUAAAGGCAAUCCAACAGGCAGUGAUCUUGUCGAGGUGCCUUCUAAUAGAAAAGAGCUCACGGCAAGAUGAAAUGCAAAGUAAGUUGUUUUAUGGUUGGGCGGUGUGUGGUCCUCUUGUUAAAGGCCAUAAGAUGUUAAGCAUAUUGCUAUUUAAUUUUUAAAUCAUUCUCAGUAAUAAUUCCUUUAGUAGAUUGAUGAUAAGAGAUUACAUUACAGAUGAUAACUGAGCACAAUUUUUGUAGUUGUAUCCCUGUACAUCCAUCUUAAUAUCCUCAUUAUAUUCACAUGCCUUUCACGGGUGUUAUUUCUGGAUGCUGAAUGCUUUGUUCCACUUUUGGAAACCAAAUGCUUUGUUACACAAAGCUGAGCUGGUUGAAAAGCUAGCUGAUGAGGUCAACAUGUCCCUUAAGUAAUUUGAGGAUGAACACUGUGUUCCCGAAAGUCUUACUCUAAUGAUACUUAAAAAAGCAAUGAGAAUGGAUGUUGCAGCGGCUUUACUGAACUCAACCCCAGUUCCAAACAUGGAACAUGUGAAAACCAAAAAUGCAUUGUUUUUUUUCUCUUUAUGACUUCUCUAGUUGGGGAAUGUACUAGAUAUUCACCUAAUCAGUAGGCCUUGAAGGGAUCCCAUGUUAGCCCCUUGAUGUUGGUCUGUAACUAAGUAAAUACUUGACCUUGAAAAAGCUUUUGGAGGCAUCAGUUUCUCUCUGACUGUGUGCUACUUUUUGGAUCUGUUGAUUUGGUCAUUUGCUGAUUUAUAGUUUGUUUUCUGAUUCAGGAUGGGAUAUGGCUCCAUACAUAGAGACAAUAGAUUCACAGCAGUCAUCAUGCUUCAUUGUAAGUAUAUAUACAAUACAGCAUCAGUUUUUCUUGAUUUUAAAUCUCAUAUUCUGAAGUGGUACUUCUGAUUCCCACAUGAUUUUUCCAUUUUUCAGCUAAAGUUUUUCUGUGAUCUCUUACGUAUUAGAUGGGAGUCCACCCGUAGUCGCACAAAAGGGCGUGCUUUAGAGAUGAUGGACAAACUGGUAUGAUCUGUGAGCCUUUUCUUCUUAAAUAUUUUGUUACCUAAACCAUUCUCAUUCAAAUUGACAAGAGUUGCUUAUUUAUCGAUAGAAGAUUCCAAACUUCUGCAGCUAGUACUUUAUUGGACCCAAAAGCUUUUUUGCUUUUUCUAAGCUGCUAAUCAAGACUAGGUUUCUCUCCCUUAUAUCGCUAGAUAUGCCAUUAAUCGUUUGAUUUAAUUGUCUAGAGAGAUUAGAUACUUGCAUCUUUGCUUUUCACUUCACAAGUGAUUUCAUGUGCUAUCCUGUAUUCUGGUUCAAGAUUUUUGAUGGUUGCUUACUAUCAUAUUUUGCUUUGUUUCAGGUUGAGGGCAUUUCUAACUCUUCUCCCGGUGUGACUCAAAGUAUUCCCUUUUGUUAUGUGAUUUGCAUUCCAACUAUUCCUGCCCUGCGAAAGUAAAACUAUUUCUUCUGCAUCUUUGAAUGAUUGUGAUUUAAUUUUCUUGUCAUUUUGCCAACUAUCAUUAUGCUGUCAUUGUUUCAUAUCUUAUUUGACAUAUGUUGAUUUGGAUAGAUUUUAAUUGCUCUGUUUAUUCUCUUUAUAAUCUGUCUAUUUCGAUUUUUCUUCAUUUUAGGGAAUAUGCUAAACUUUUAGUAAGCCGUGGCUUGAUUGGAGAGGCUAUUAAAAAUUUUGAGGAUCUGGUGUUGUGGGAUAGUCUAAUACUGCAAUUGGUAUGAUGUCAUAGAUAACCAUUACCCUAAUCUCUCUGUCUAUCUCUCUCUCUCUCUCUUUCGUGUUGCUAAUGGGAGUUGGUUUUGUGUAUGAUGUAAAAAACAGCCUAUUGGGGAAGAAAGCAGCAGCUGUUGAACUAAUAAAAGCAAGGCUGUCUGAAAAGCCUAAUGACCCUACAUUAUGGUUUGUUGAUGAGCCUUUUCUAUGAUCCAUUUUAUAGUUACUUCUCAUUUCAGUUAAAUCCAUUGUUGAUGUCACUUAUUGCAAUCUAGGGAUGAUUGUUCAUUGGAUGUGAGGAUAUUGUCAGAAGAAAAUGAAACCUUUUAAUUUUAUCUUUUACUUGCUGUAGCCGACUUAAAAGGUCACUGUGCGUUCUUACUGAUUGCUUUUGGUCUUGCAUUUGAGUCAGUGGAUUUUAUACUCAUAUUCUGACAUGUAUUGUUAGCCUUCUGACGGUUCUGCACCUUGGUCCUAUAUUAUCUUCAGCAGUAUUAUCUAAAAGAUCAUUUUUUGCCGAAGAAUAUUUGCAUUCUAAACUAGAAAAGGAGGGGCCGCCCGGGCCCGGGGGGGGGGGGGGGGGUGUGUGUGUGUGAAGGAAGCAUCAGGAGGUUGUUUUCCACUUAUCCUCUUCCCUGCCUGCAUUUUAGAUGAUUCUGAUGCACCAGGUGCCGUGAAAUGGUUGAGAAAUACAUACCAUCAAGUGAAUUCUGAAAAUCAUAUCCUUUUUGAGAAUAUUUGGUGCUAGACAUUUGAAUAUGUGGCCACAAUUUAAACAAUAAAGAUUUUCUGCACUGAUUUCUUAUAAUGGAUAUAUGCAUGUAAUUAUAAUAUGAUAUCUUUUGAUUAUUGACCCAUUUGUUUAGAAAGAAGGGGAAAAAAAAAACAUGGUUGAAAGACAACUGUUACUUGACCUUAUCUUGGUCUGUUCACUGCCGUUUGUUUCCUAUAACUUCUGGUGAUAAUGUAGCCAGAAUGAUGAGUUGAAUUGUGGUUUACUGACUUGUGAUACAUUUUGUAGGUGUUCAUUUUUGUUUUCUAAAUUUGUUAUCUAAAGGAAUGACAAGUUGACAACUCAGCCUCUCUCUCUCUCUCUCUCUCUCUCUCUCUCUGUGUGUCUGUGUCAG